rnacentral:rRNA from 2 species
UGGGGAAUAUUGCACAAUGGGGGAAACCCUGAUGCAGCGACGCCGCGUGAGUGAAGAAGUAUUUCGGUAUGUAAAGCUCUAUCAGCAGGGAAGAAAAUGACGGUACCUGACUAAGAAGCCCCGGCUAACUACGUGCCAGCAGCCGCGGUAAUACGUAGGGGGCAAGCGUUAUCCGGAUUUACUGGGUGUAAAGGGAGCGUAGACGGCAUGGCAAGCCAGAUGUGAAAACCCAGGGCUCAACCCUGGGACUGCAUUUGGAACUGCCGGGCUGGAGUGCAGGAGAGGUAAGCGGAAUUCCUAGUGUAGCGGUGAAAUGCGUAGAUAUUAGGAGGAACACCAGUGGCGAAGGCGGCUUACUGGACUGUAACUGACGUUGAGGCUCGAAAGCGUGGGGAGCAAACAGG